rnacentral:rRNA from 1 species
UUUGGACAAUGGGCGCAAGCCUGAUCCAGCCAUGCCGCGUGGGUGAAGACGGCGUUCGGGAUGUAACGCUCUUUCGGACGGUAAGAAAUCACGAAGGCUAAUACCCUGUGCGGAUGAGGGUCCCGUAAUCAGAAGAAACGCGCAACUCAUAGCCAGCAGCCGCGGGAAUCAGUAGGGUGCGAGCGUUAAUCGGAAUUCCUAGGCGUAAAGCGUGCGCAGGCGGUUGAUUAAGACCGGAGUGAAAUCCCCGGGCUUAACCUGGGAACUGCGCUUGUGACUGGUCAGCUAGAGUACGGCAGAGGGGGGUGGAAUUCCACGUGUAGCAGUGAAAUGCGUAGAGAUGUGGAGAAACACCGAUGGCGAAGGCAGCCCCCUGGGCCGAUACUGACGCUCAUGCACGAAAGCGUGGGUAGCAAACAGG